CAAUACAAUAAUGAAUGAGCCUGGAGAUGUAAAGAAAUGAGAUACUGUAUAUGAGCAUAACGUGAGUUGAAGAGGAGCAGAAACACAUCACGACGCCGGAGAAAGAAGAACACCUUCCACCAGGAUUCAUUAUCAUUCACAUUUAUAGUAAAUGGAUCAGAAAUGGAUUUCAGUCUUCUUCCUUCUCUCAGCUAUCUAUGGUCUGUCUGCAUACGUUCCUCAUCGGUAUCACUUUGUGAAUGAGAAUAAAACCUGGACUGAAGCUCAGAGCUACUGCAGACAGACCUACACUGAUCUGGCCACCAUCAACAACAUGGAGGAGAUGAAGAAGCUGAAUGACACUGUGAAAGAUAAAUCUGCUAAGGUUUGGAUCGGCCUAGAAAA